GGUCUUAAACUCUCUUUCUCAUGGAGGAGUUAUCGGCCUGUACUUCAGGAUUAGCAUACGGCUAUCUCCGUGCCAGCAGCCGCGGUAAUACGUGAGUAGCAAGCGUUAUCCGGAAUUAUUGGGCGUAAAGUGUCCGCAGGUUGCCUUUCAAGUCUGCUGUUAAAGGUUAAAGCUUAACUUCAUCUUGGCAGUGGAAAUUGAUAGGCUUGAGUAUAGUAGAGGCAGAGNGGAAUUUCCUGUGUAGCGGUGAAAUGCGUAGAUAUUGGGAGGAACACCAAUGGCGAAGGCGNCUCUGCUGGGCCCCCCCUGACGUUCAUGGACGAAAGCUAGGGUAGCGAACGGGAUUAGAUAACCCAGNUANGUCNCUGGCCGUANAUUGAUGANAUANCUACNAAGUGGUGUGNCAUNCGAUCNCGUUCCGGUGUCGUAGCUANACGNCGUU
rnacentral:rRNA from 1 species